UGAAGUACCUUUUUUGUAAUUUUAGGUCCCCCUGAUGAGUUUUUCUUAACAUCUUUCACAAGAAUACCUGACAACAAACUUUGGAUUUCUUUAACAAGUGGAAAAUCACUUAAAUAUUUCAACUGGAAAAAUGGUGAACCAAACAAUGUCCAAAAAGAAGAACAGUGUGUUGUUGUGCGAACAGAAAAUAAACAAUUAAAAUGGUACGACGUCUUCUGCUGGAAUACUAACUAUUUCAUCUGUGAAGUUAUUUGGACAAAAAUGGACCAAAAAUUAUUGCAAGUUUUAAAAGAUAAACUCGAAAAACAAAUUGAAGCGCAAGGUAAUGUUAGCAUGACCGUAGGAAUGCCGACUGUUCAUUAAAACGAAAAUGUUACACUCCAAAAAGUUACCAUAAUUAUUUAUAUUAUAGAAUAAAAAUAAAUAAACAGACCUUUAUGUUUUAA
rnacentral:lncRNA from 1 species